ensembl:ncRNA F29G9.10 ncRNA
AACGAAGCUCCGAAAAUACGAAACCGCGCGUUGUUUAGUUCUCACCAGAGCGCGCUUGCAUUGUCAUCAUCAACGCUGUAUUUUUUUAAAUCAUUCUUCGUUCUACUUAUUUUAUAUCUUUCAAUUGUUUUCUU